UUUGUUGUUUUUUGGGGGGUUUUGUUUGGGUUCUUUGGGAUGGAUUGGUGGGUUUUUUGGGGGGGGGGUUGCUGUUGUAUGGUUUUGUGGUUUUUUUUUGUUUUGUUGGGGUUUUUUGUUUGUUUGUUUGUUUUUUGGGUUUUUUUUCCCCUUGUUGAGAAUUCUUUCUGCUGAGACCUCAGGCAAUGUUGGAGCAGUGACCUCAGGGGCAGGAAAUCAAUCAUCCCACUGAAGAAGCAUUCCCAGAGCUUCAGUGGAUGCAGGAAUGUCCAUCCCUGUUGACUAUGGAGGCACAGGAGAUGGGAUAUCCCAACAUCCUGGGCUCCAGCUCUGCCUGAUCACCACACCCUGCCCUUGGAUCUGAGCCCUCCAGCUUUUUUCCCAGAAUAAGGGAGCCAUUCAUCUCGAGCUGAUUUGCAAGGAUAAACUGGAGUGGGAGAACAGCAGUGACUCAGCUCAGCGUUCCUGGGGCAUGGUGAGGCCCUGGCACAGGUUUCCCUGAGGAGCUGUGGCUGCCUCAUCCCUGGAAAUAUCCAAGGCUGAAUUGGACAGGGCUUGGAGCAGCCUGGGAUAGUGGAAGGUGUCCCUGCCUGUGGCAGGGAGUUGGAAUCAGGGGACAAAGGAAGAGUGAGCACAGUAAGAGCAGAGGGGCCAGGUCAUCCUGGAGCAAAACCUGAGUGGGCUUGGAAGUUUUGUUACUUCUGAGGGGCUCUGAGGCAGCAAGAUCCUCAGUUGCCUGCUCAGUAAUUGUGGAGCUGCUCUGCUUCCUUCAGAUGGAAUGGAUAAUCCUUCCCAACUCCAAGCACCUUGUUCCAGACCUUUCCCCCUGCCAUGAGUGGAGAGGAGACAUGUGGCUCCUGCUUGAGGAAAGCAGAAGAGGCAUUUCCAUCCUGAAGGCAAUGGCUGGAAGGGCUGCCUGGGCUCUGACCUGCUGCAGUGUUUCUUCUCUGCUGAUUGACUCAUUUCCUGGAAAUCUCUGAGCCAACACAGCCUUCCUGGCGCUGUGGAUUCAAGACUAUUGUGUGGUGGAAAUGUGUUUUACCUGAAGGUGUUCUUCACCACCAGCCUUGGAAAACAGGGGAAAAUCGUGGUGCUCAACGUGUCUGGGAACUCCGAGGAGCCAUAGGAUUCUCUACAUGGAUACCAGCGAGUGAUUCCAGGUGACCCUGGGCCAUGAUGCCAGGAGGGAUUUGGGCUUGGAGCAGACCUGGAGGAUGUCAUGUUCCCCUUUGGAUGGCCAGAAAACCCCAGCAGACCACAGGUUUGCCACCAGGUCUGCUGGUGAAGAAGGAAGCUUUCAAACCAUGGAAGCCUAGAAAACAGAAGGAAACAAACACCUGGGACCAAUUAAAACAUCUCCAGCAAGCCACCAGGGUUUGGGGACAUUCCCAAUGCUGCAGUGCAUGUGGCUGGCAGGAUCAAAACUCCAAACCACAGCUCCCACCAUGGCCUCUGCCACAGUCAGGCUUAGGGACCACAGAAUCCCAGAAUGGUUUGGGGUGGAAGAGACUUAAAGCCCAUCUUAUUCCACCCCCUGCCAUGGCAAGGAUGCCUCCCACUGUCCAAGGGUGCUCUAAGUCCUGUCCAGCCUGGCUUUGGACACUGCCGAGGAUUCAGGGGCAGCCACAGUUCCUCUGGGCACCUGUGCCAGGGCCUGCCCACCCUCCCAGGGAAGAUUUCUUCCCAAUCCAUCCCUGCCCUCUGGCAGUGGGAGCCAUUCCCUGUGUCCUGUCCCUCCAUCCCUUGUCCCCAGUCCCUCUCCAGCUCUCCUGGAGCCCCUUCAGGCCCUGGAAGGGGUUUUGGGGUCUCCUUGGAGCCUUCCCCUCUCCAGGUGAGCCCCCCCAGCUCUGCCAGCCUGGCUCCAGCCCUUGAGCAUCCCCAUGGACUCUCUCCAUGUCCUUCCUGUGCACUUGUUCUCCCUUCAAGCCAAUGCUGGUGCCUGAGCUGUGCUUUUCCUGCUGCAUGUCCAGCUGGCCUCUCCUGGCCUGGCCAUGGCUCCACUGCCACCAGUGUCCCCUGCCAGGUGCCUUUGCACAGCUCUGACUCCCCAGCAGGUUUCCUCACGCACCCUCUCCACACCCAGCUCUCCCUCUUUGCAUUAUUAACUCCCACAGCAUGCAGCUCCUCUCCCACAGAGUCUGUCUUUUCCCUCUGCCUUCCCCCAGCUCCACAGGCUCCCCUGUAAUUAUUGCAGCCACCACUGGCCCAGCCAGUGGCACAGAAAGCCACCGAGCCCUUGGCAGGCCCAUGCAGUCCACGUCGGCAGGGUGUGGAUUCACAGAGGUCUCACAGACAAAUUUUACGGAAAAUCCUUUUGCCAGCAUCUUUUCUCCUGAGAAGCUUCAGCUUCUCCAUGUUUUGCUGCUUUGGAAUGUGAUUUGGGGAAUUGUUUACCCAGCAUGUGAAAUUGUUUUUACUUGAUGACCAAUGACAGUCACCUGUGUCAAGGCUGUGAGAGGUCACAAGAUUUUAUUAUCAUUCCUUUCUAUUCCUUGCUAGCCUUCUGAUGAAAUAAUUUCUUCUAUUCUUUUACUC